GGAAAGAUCAGUCUUGAGACGAAAACUUGCUGCAUCUGCUGUUGAAGUUGAGAGACAGAGGAUGAAAUGCUUCCCAUAAUUUUAUCAGCAAGUUCUGUAUCAGCAAGAAGAAAUGCUAUUCUUCACGUGAGUUACUAAGGUUGUAUGCUGUUUGUAUAGAGUAAAAAAGAACUGUAUACUAUUUUCCAAAGAAACUACUUUUAACAAUCUUCUGAUUUUUUUUUCAACCGCUUCUGGGAGUAAAAGAGUUCAAGGCCACUAAGGGGUAUGAACCCAGACCCUAUCAUGGGGUUGCCUCAGCUAUAAGAAGCUGAAAAUGUCACAUUUUUUUUUUCAAAUUAUAUUGAACAUGAAUCAACGCGUUUAAUUUGUUAGUAUUAAGAUUGUAAAAUUUUGGGGCCUGA
rnacentral:misc_RNA from 1 species